UCACGGACUAAGACUGGUAGUUGGUUCCGCAGGAGAGGAGCCUGAUGAUAUUUCAUAGUAUUUCUAUCUGUUUGCAGGACCGCACUUAAACCCCAGUGUAAUCCAUAACUUCUAUGACAACAUUGGGUUCCUUGGUCCCGUCCCACCCAAACCCAAAGACCCAGGGAGUAAGAUUGUGAAGCCCAGCGCGGAGCAAGAGGAGGACGAGGGCACCCAGUGGAACUGCACAGCCUGCACCUUCCUCAACCACCCCGCCCUCAACCGCUGUGAACAGUGCGAGUUCCCGCGGAACUUCUGAGCCAACGGGCGCGUCGCCCUUCCUCUGCACAACUGAUGUCUCCCAGAGCAGAGCAGACUUUUUGUUUUCCUUCGCUUUUUCGGAGAGGAAAGCGAUAAGAGAAAGCGGACAGCACACGGCCUACUUUUCUCGGUUCUUCCUCUAAGUUUGUAGUAACGCUGUCCGGCGAAGGCCCGACCACUCAGUGGGAUCGUAGCUCACCUUGGAGGCUGGGACGGUUCCCCUGCUCUGCUCGCUGGGGGACACUUCACUCCGGAUACUCUGCUGCUUCCACUCACAGUAUUACGAGCGUGGCCCUGCAGUGGCAGCGCACGUGUGCCCGCAUGCACAAACAAUCCCCGUGCCGGUGUGCCUUUACCCCCUGAUUGCAUAUUUGAGAGUUUGGUUUUUUUUCAGUUCCUCUGUGAUGGCCUGACCUGGUAAAGGGACGUGUGCUCAGCCACUGAAGGAAACACAAGAAGAAAAAAGGGACUGUCUCACCAGCGCCCCCUCUCUGUCCUCUUUGUCACGACUCGGUGAAAACAUGGAAAAACAAGUUGCAUGCUUUGUGUACAGUACGUCAAGCAGAAGCUCUCCUCGAGCUCUUUGCUGUACAGAAUUUUAGACUGUUGCUUUUAAACCUUUUCUCCUCACACUAUGAAUCGCUCGUUUCCUGUAAGUAUAGCUCUAUAGACUUUUUAUCAGCUACUUUUGUCUCUGUUUCCUCAAACAGACAAGCACCAUUUUUUUUUUUUUUUUAAAGCUUUUUACUUGAUACCUGUGAGAAGCCGAAGCUUUGCAGAAGGAGACGAGCAGAGCUGGUAAAACGCUCACAGUAAUCAUGAAGCUACACGUGUCGGUCCGUUCAGAUGCUUGUCUAUUUGCCGGGUGUACGAUCUGUUAAUGUAAAGGCGGUGGAGAAGUUUUUGUUGUUUUUUGUUUUGUUCUUCAGGACAUAUUAGAGACUUUCUGGGGUUUUUUGGGGGUGGAGAUGCUGGGUUAAAGAAAAGAAAAAAAAGACAAACUGCCAUCCUAUCUGACAACUGGAAUGUAGGAUUGAUGUU